rnacentral:rRNA from 1 species
UCCACGCUUCCUAGAAAAGCCGCGUGCAGAGCUCCCUUGGUGAUCGUACUGCAAACCGACUCAGGUGGACGGGGUGAAUAUCCCAAGGCGCGUGAGAGAACCCUGGUUAAGGAACUCUGCAAAUUGACACCGUAACUUCGGGAGAAGGUGUGCCGCUGGCGGUUAGUGACUUCGCGUCACGAAGCUGUUGGUGGUCGCAGUGAAAUGGCGGUUGUGACUGUUUACUAAAAACACAGGACUCUGCGAAGUCGUAAGACGACGUAUAGGGUCUGAUGCCUGCCCGGUGCUGGAAGGUUAAGGGGAUAUGUCAGAGCAAUCGAAGCAUUGAACCGAAGCCCCAGUAAACGGCGGCCGUAACAAUAACGGUCCUAAGGUAGCGAAAUUCCUUGUCGGGUAAGUUCCGACCUGCACGAAGGGCAUAACAACAUCCGCACUGUCUCGACCAGGGACUCAGCGAAAUUACAUUGGGGGUGAAGAUGCCCUCUACCCGCGGAAAGACGGAAAGACCCCAUGAACCUUUACUGCAACUUGGCAGUGAUUUUCGGGUUGUUCUGCGUAGGAUAGGUGGGAGGCUUUGAAGUCGGGCUUCCGGGUUCGACAGAGCCAACGUUGAAAUACCACCCUGAAUAAUCUGGAAAUCUAACCUGCGCCCAUGAUCUGGGCGAGGGACACUGCCUGGUGGGCAGUUUGACUGGGGCGGUCGCCUCCUAAAUUGUAACGGAGGCGUGCGACGGUUCCCUCAGGCUGAUUGGAAACCAGCCGUAGAGUGCAAACGCAUAAGGGAGCUUUACUGCGAGACUGACAAGUCGAACAGUUGCGAAAGCAGGUGUUAGUGAUCCGGUGGUACCACAUGGAAGGGCCAUCGCUCAUCGGAUAAGAGGUACUCUGGGGAUAACAGGCUGAUCGCGCCUGAGAGUUCACAUCGGCGGCGCGGUUUGGCACCUCGAUGUCGGCUCAUCGCAUCCUGGGGCUGGAGCAGGUCCCAAGGGUUUGGCUGUUCGCCAAUUAAAGCGGUACGCGAGCUGGGUUUAAAACGUCGUGAGACAGUUUGGUCCCUAUCUUCCGUGGGCGCAGGACACUAGAGAGGAGCUAUCCAUAGUACGAGAGGACCUGGAUGGACGAACCUCUGGUGCUCCGGUUGUCACGCCAGUGGCAUAGCCGGGUAGCCAUGUUCGGAACAGAUAACCGCUGAAGGCAUAUAAGCGGGAAGCUGGCCUCAAGACUAGGUGUCCCUGACGCAAGUCACUAAAGGCCCCUCGAAGACUACGAGGUUGAUAGGCUAGGUGUGGAAGCACAGCGAUGUGCGGAGCUAACUAGUACUAAUAGGCCGUGCGACUUGACCUC